rnacentral:rRNA from 1 species
GAUGAACGCCGGCGGUGUGCCUAAUACAUGCAAGUCGUACGCACUGGCCCAACUGAUUGAUGGUGCUUGCACCUGAUUGACGAUGGAUCACCAGUGAGUGGCGGACGGGUGAGUAACACGUAGGUAACCUGCCCCGGAGCGGGGGAUAACAUUUGGAAACAGAUGCUAAUACCGCAUAACAACAAAAGCCGCAUGGCUUUUGUUUGAAAGAUGGCUUUGGCUAUCACUCUGGGAUGGACCUGCGGUGCAUUAGCUAGUUGGUAAGGUAACGGCUUACCAAGGCGAUGAUGCAUAGCCGAGUUGAGAGACUGAUCGGCCACAAUGGAACUGAGACACGGUCCAUACUCCUACGGGAGGCAGCAGUAGGGAAUCUUCCACAAUGGGCGCAAGCCUGAUGGAGCAACACCGCGUGAGUGAAGAAGGGUUUCGGCUCGUAAAGCUCUGUUGUUGGAGAAGAACGUGCGUGAGAGUAACUGUUCACGCAGUGACGGUAUCCAACCAGAAAGUCACGGCUAACUACGUGCCAGCAGCCGCGGUAAUACGUAGGUGGCAAGCGUUAUCCGGAUUUAUUGGGCGUAAAGCGAGCGCAGGCGGUUGCUUAGGUCUGAUGUGAAAGCCUUCGGCUUAACCGAAGAAGUGCAUCGGAAACCGGGCGACUUGAGUGCAGAAGAGGACAGUGGAACUCCAUGUGUAGCGGUGGAAUGCGUAGAUAUAUGGAAGAACACCAGUGGCGAAGGCGGCUGUCUGGUCUGCAACUGACGCUGAGGCUCGAAAGCAUGGGUAGCGAACAGG